AGGCUGAAAUUGUCAAACGAUUGAAUGGAAUUUGUGCUCAAGUCAUCCCCUUCUUGUCUCAGGAGCAUCAGCAACAGGUGGUACAGGCCAUAGAACGUGCAAAGCAGGUGACUGCACCAGAGCUUAAUACUGUCAUCAGGCAGCAGCUUCAAGCACAACAGCUGUCUCACCUCCAUGGUCUCACGGUGCCACUCACCCCCUUACCAGCUGGCCUGCAGCCUCCUGUCAUCCCUUCAGUCAGUGCCAGUGCAGGACUACUGGCGUUAUCCAGCGCCCUGGGCUCUCAGAUCCACCUCGCCUCAAAAGAUGACAAGAACCACCAUGAUGGUGACCACCAGAGAGAUGAGGGGGUACAGAAACCUGAUUAGGAACUCUUGAGGAUUGCGCAACACAAAAUCCUUAAAUAUGAUCUUUGGUGUUUGUUUUAAUGCCUGUAUAUAUCUCGGAGGUGGCAAUUUUGUGCUGUGUAUGUUAUUAUUUAGGAGAACAAAGCCUAUUUUAAAGCUGCAGUAUAUCAAAAGCAACUUUGUUUUGGCAUGAACAAAGCAGGGACACACUAAGUAUGAAUUUGCUUCAGACGAGGGCAUAACUUAUUGGCUUGUCCACCUGAUGGACGUUCUAGUAUUCAGCAUCUUCAAGAUAAAAGCUUCUGAUUCAGCCUGUCCAUUGAAAUUGUGCGUGACAGGAAUUGCCUUUCCAACUAGUUGUCCACAUAAUUGGGCUGUUGAGUGAUUUUUGUUUCAAGUCAAAUGACUUCUAAAGUGCAGAUCAGUACAUUGUCAGAAACCAAAGCAAAUUUGCCAAAUUGAUGGUAAGAUGGCUGAUGUUCUGUGCUGUUGAAAUUGCCAUAUCUUUGACCUUCUUUAAAUGGUUGGCCUAUUAACACACUCUAAAUCAGUUACAUGGGAACAAAUCUUUAAAAGGAGAAAAAAAAAAUUUAUAUAUCAGAAUCAUCUUAAACUCUAAUUUCAUCUGAAUGUCUGUGUUAUUGAUCUAUAAAAGCUUGAGUACACUUUCUUUUUGCUGCCUAAGAUCUAUAUUCCUUGUUGGGAUUUGAUAUGCAGUUCCAAAUUUCUCAAUCACCUUUUAAAGUUUCUGGAGUAAAACAUCUACUGACCAAGAUGGAGACGAUCAUUUAAAUUAUUUUAUCAUCUGCUUGUUUCUGGAUGGGGACAAAGAAUGUAACGAGAGUUGACUUCAGAAUUUGGUGGGAGAGCUUAGCAAAAUAUUCUUCUGUUGGAUUGUGUUAAGCCAUCAGAAUGGGGCAUAAUCACCAACAUACACCUCAACUCAAAGCAAAAUAGGUGUUUCUAUAUUGCGCAGUGUUUUCCAAAGUAAGCUCAGACCUUUUAUAGAUCUCAAAGUAUCAGGGGGUGAAUUCUGAACAUUUGGCUGUACAAUUGGACAUUUCAAAUGCCGCAUCGGCAAUAAGUUGGGGGGCUGUGCAGUUUGCGGGAAAGGUGCAACCAACUUUGUGUUGAUGGCUUUAACUUGAACUGUAUAGAUAACACUGGGCUUGCAGUGCAUCUGAAAUGUGCUUGUGCCGUGGAUGGUUGUUCUUUCAUCCAGACUAAUUGUACGUUGAGAACGAUUCUCCCACUGAAAUCUACACUUUGCUGACUAUACGAGAAGAAUUGGGAAGGGGAUCCAUCAAGGCAAUGAAGGAUCAAAUGGGAGAAGUUGGAGCUGCAAAUGUGUUCCUGUUGGCUGCUAGUUAUGGUUGGUGAAGGACAUGUGUAUGCCAUAUUUGAAAUUCAUGGUUUUCCUGACCCUACCUCCACCAUUCCACACCCACCCCCGGCCCCCCAAAAAUAAGAAAAUACUAAACCAGGCUUCUGUCUCAAAGACACACCACUAACAUCCAUGAGAGAAGAA